AUUCCCCUCUUCCAGAGGGGCCUCUUUAACGGCUCCCCAUGAAAUAAUCAUUCAUUAUGUCACCAGGAGGGAAGAAAGGGAGUAUUUUGUGAAGCCGUCCCAUUCAAAGCCACCCCCAGAGGCCGGGAGGAGACCACAAAGCUGAGAACACAGCCGGGACCUGCCCACUGACACACUGAAGACUCAACACGAUUCAGGAAAGCACUUUCAAAGAGUGUUUUUUCUUGGACAGAUAACAUUCCGUUUUGUUUCUGAGAGGCAAGGACAAUCUCUAGUUCGAUUGUAAAACUAUUUCCUUCAAAUGUACAUUUUUAUCUAUGGAGAGUGGUGAUAAUUGGGGUUUUACAAACCUAAGAAGUUUACAUUUGGCAACAGUGAUUGUUGCCAUUACAACUACAAUGUAAAAACCAGAUUCUCUUUUGGUGUGCAUCCUCCCCUCUUUGGUUUCAAGGGUGACUUUCCCACGCAUAUCUACCACUCACUUGGAAAGUCCGAGUCUGGAAACAUUUUAGCACAUAGGUAACCUUCAUUCCAUUGUGGCCCACACAUUUGCCUGACCUGAUACUCUCCCCCAAAACUCUUAUAUUUGCAAACUAAAACAUUAACUCUUGAUUCCUCCUCCCCGACCUUUUAAAAAUAAAAAUAGCUCUUCCAGA